AUGUCACCUAUAACUUUCAAUUGCCAGUUAAUUAACUUGCAAUUGGUGCAUUGUAAAAGGCAAAUUAAAUACUUUUUCAGGCAGUGGCUGGUAAAUCUAAUGAGCCGGUGUGCCCGAAGCAGACAGCGGGGCUCACAUGUUCCAGCCUCACCUCCCUCCUUGUCGAUGGGUGUGUGGCAUGGGCAAGUAGACAGCGGGGCCUCCGUGUCCUCAUCAGGAGGAUGGAUCACAGAAGCUGCUUCCAGAACCUUCAUGGUGUCUGGGAUUGAAGCUGUUUUUUUUUUUUAUCUGCAGGUAAAUGCAACAAAGGGGGUCCCAAGUGGACAUGGCCUGGGAGCCCAAACUGACCCCGACGAAUUCUCAGAUGACCGAAGAAGCACUGCCCUCUGCGCUCCUGGCAUGGCUUCUUGGCUCUACUUCGAAGAUGAGCAGCAGCUCUGGCUUCUCCAAGUACCUCUCCAAGUACUCCCGUGGCAGGAGGCCAGGACUGGGUGCGCACACCUCUCACUGCGUCCGGCCUCGUGACGUGUCCAGCAGUGGCCUCGGUCAUCACUCUGUGGACAACAGCGUGGGCCUUCCAUCCAUCCCCCAUCGGGAGGCUCUACCACAGGGCCCACGUGGGUCUCCCAGCCCUUGAGGAUGGCUCCUCCACGCCCUCGGGAUGACCGCCCAGCUCUGGCUGGAGGCCCAAGGCCCUGCUGCCUGAGCCCGAGGUCUCCUCCCAGCCUCAGGGCCCGUCUCCUGACCACCUGCAUAGCUUGGCCUCUCUGCUGCCUCCCAAACCUCCUCCUGCUCUGGCUCACUGGUGUCUACCCCUGGCAGUGAGAGCUGUUCUCUCCUCCAGACCCCCCAGGACUGUACAGCCCAUGCCAGGGACUUUUAUGGAUGCGCCCACUGCUCUCUGGACACGGCUGCUGAGGAACAGAAGCUGGGGGUGAGUCGGCUCUGACUCCCAGGGCCCCGCAUGGCCUGGCCGAAGGCAGUGUCCACUAGAGGUUGGCAGAGAGCAUGCAUUCAAGAAGUCUGCUUCUUGGAAGGCAGCCUGACCACACCCCAGGAGCAGAGAGACGGCCGACUUUGAGGGCAGAUGACCCUGCACAGCCUUGGCCUCAGUGUCCUCAUCUGUGGAAUGGGGAUCCUAGCACCCAUUUUCCCCCCCAUUUUAGCCAUGCUUCUAGGUAUGUAUCUUACUGACAUUUUAACUUGCAUUUUUCUCGUAAGGAAUGAAGUUUGGAGAUCCUUUUUGUCACCUUGAGACCUUUGUGGUGGUUAUUGUCUUUCUAUGAGUGAUAUGUAGGGUUUUUAAAAAGUGUACUCUCGAUAUGGUGUCUGUGUCAAGAUCUCUUGUUGCUAAUCACAGGUUUCAGGGACAUCAACCGUGUGAAACCACAGCAUCGGGCCCAGCAGGAGGGUGCUCAAGAAACAUCGGCUUCCCUGCAGCCCUAGAUGCCUCCCACCACCUGCCUUUCCGCGUGCACCUCUUUGCCCUAUCCUGGUUCAUCUGAGAUGCCCCUUCCUCCUGGGC
rnacentral:lncRNA from 12 species